UUGGAAAGUUAAAAAUCGUAACAAGGUCUCCGUUGGUGAACCAGCGGAGGGAUCAUUAUAGAGUUUUCUAAACUCCCAACCCAUGUGAACUUACCUUUUGUUGCCUCGGCAGGAGUUAUAGGUCUUCUUAUAGCUGCUGCCGGUGGACCAUUAAACUCUUGUUAUUUUAUGUAAUCUGAGCGUCUUAUUUUAAUAAGUCAAAACUUUCAACAACGGAUCUCUUGGUUCUGGCAUCGAUGAAGAACGCAGCGAAAUGCGAUAAGUAAUGUGAAUUGCAGAAUUCAGUGAAUCAUCGAAUCUUUGAACGCACAUUGCGCCCAUUAGUAUUCUAGUGGGCAUGCCUGUUCGAGCGUCAUUUCAACCCUUAAGCCUAGCUUAGUGUUGGGAAUCUACUUCUUUAUAGUUGUAGUUCCUGAAAUACAACGGCGGAUUUGUAGUAUCCUCUGAGCGUAGUAAUUUUUUUCUCGCUUUUGUUAGGUGCUAUAACUCCCAGCCGCUAAACCCCCAAUUUUUUGUGGUUGACCUCGGAUCAGGUAGGAAUACCCGCUGAACUUAAGCAUAUCAAAGCCGGGAGGAAA
rnacentral:rRNA from 1 species